CACGUAGGCACCAAGCGUUGUCCGGAUUUAUUGGGCGUAAAGAGCUCGUAGGCGGUUCAGUAAGUCGGGUGUGAAAACUCUGGGCUCAACCCAGAGACGCCACCCGAUACUGCUGUGACUUGAGUACGGUAGGGGAGUGGGGAAUUCCUGGUGUAGCGGUGAAAUGCGCAGAUAUCAGGAGGAACACCAAUGGCGAAGGCAGCUCUCUGGUACGUGACUGACACUGAGACGCGAAAGCGUGGGGAGCGAACAGG
rnacentral:rRNA from 1 species